AGCAUCUGCUUUUGAAUAUUUGCUGAUUCCUCCUGCAUUGCGGUACUGGUUUUUAAUAAAUCCGUUUGGGCUGGAUUUUGGUGCAGACUUCCUCGUAUGUGGGUUUGUUCCAUCGACUAACAAUAGAAAUUCAAUCUAAACGAGUUUAUCAACGAACAACAAAUCAACAAUAAACUUAUUCACUCUCAUACACAAUUUUACUUUAACCCUUAAAUUGGCAGUGUACUCCACAAAAGACAUUAACUUCUUUUAAAUCGAAUGUAGUACCAAUCUUUAAAAAAAUACAUUUUUUUGUUCUUUUUGGCUUGUCAUUAUUGUAUAUUUUGGUAGAAAAAAUAUUUGAAUGUGGUUCCAUUGAAAAAUAGCUGUCAAAUUCAAAAUGUCUUCGAAGCGGUCUGGUGUAUCCGGGUCACGGCAGUGCUUGAACCUGAAACAACCUGAUUUAGCAGAUAUGCUUAUAUCUUUGCACCCGACCCCUUUCAAGACGUCGGCUCUUGAAAGGGGUCCGGUACAUGGUGGAAUUUGGGUAGGUGAAGGAGAAAAUAAUUCAGAAACCUACAGCUGAACGGCCGGUGGACAGUGUCAGAAAAUGCUGUCGGACAUUUUCCAGAAAUAGCAGAUAAGCAAUCACGCUGUAGGUUUUGCAAAGAUAGAAGAACUAAAGUUUUUUGCGUGAAAUGCAAUGUGCUCUUGUGUUUUAUGGUAGGAGAAAGUAACAAAAGAAAUUGCUUCCGCUAAUCUCACACGCAAUAAAUGCAUAUUAUGUAGUUUGAUAAGAAUUAUGAUUAAUAAAGUGAAGAUUUUACUAAAA